AUUGAACGCUGGCGGCAGGCCUAACACAUGCAAGUCGAACGAGUGGCGGACGGGUGAGUAAUGUCUGGAAAACUGCCUGAUGGAGGGGGAUAACUACUGGAAACGGUAGCUAAUAACGCAUACCAUCCGUUGUGCCCAGAUGGGAUUAGCUAGUUGGUGGGGUAACGGCUCACCAAGGCGACGCUCCAUAGCUGGUCUGAGAGGAUGACCCGCCAAACUGGAACUGAGACACGGUCCAGACUCCUACGGGAGGCAGCAGUGGGGAAUCUUGCACAAUGGGCGCAAGCCUGAUGCAGCCAUGCCGCGUGUAUGAAGAAGGCUUUCGGGUUGUAAAGUACUUUCAGCGGGGAGGCGUUACCCGCAGAAGAAGCACCGGCUAACUCCGUGCCAGCAGCCGCGGUAAUUC
rnacentral:rRNA from 1 species